rnacentral:rRNA from 1 species
UGGGGACGACGUCAAAUCAUCAUGCCCCUUAUGUCCUGGGCUACACACGUACUACAAUGGCUAUUACAGCAGGAAGCGAAGCCGCAAGGCGGAGCGGAUCCUGAAAAAUAGUCCCAGUUCAGAUUGUGGGCUGAAACCCGCCCACAUGAAGUCGGAAUUGCUAGUAAUGGCAGGUCAGCAUACUGCCGUGAAUACGUUCCCGGGCCUUGUACACACCGCCCGUCACACCAUGAGAGUUUGCAACACCCGAAGUCAGUAGUCUAACGAGCAAUCGAGGGCGCUGCCGAAGGUGGGGCAGAUGAUUGGGGUGAAGUCGUAACAAGGUAGCCGUAUCGGAAGGUGCGGCUGGAUCACCUCCUUU